rnacentral:tRNA from 3 species
GGUCGUUAGCUCAGUUGGUAGAGCAGUUGACUUUUAAUCAAUUGGUCGCAGGUUCGAAUCCUGCACGACCCACCAA